GUUACGCUAAUACCGCAUACGAUCUAUGGAUGAAAGCGGGGAUCGCAAGACCUCGUGGCGAUUGGAGCGGCCGAUGUCAGAUUAGCUAGUUGGUGGGGUAAAGGCCCACCAAGGCGACGAUCUGUAGCUGGUCUGAGAGGACGACCAGCCACACUGGGACUGGGACACGGCCCAGACUCCUACGGGAGGCAGCAGUGGGGAAUUUUUGGACAAUGGGCGCAAGCCUGAUCCAGCAAUGCCGCGUGCAGGAAGAAGGCCUUCGGGUUGUAAACUGCCUUUUGUACGGAACGAAAAGGUCUGGGUUAAUACCCUGGGCUCAUGACGGUACCGUAAGAAUAAGCACCGGCUAACUACGUG
rnacentral:rRNA from 1 species